CAAAACAAUCACCUUGUGAAAUAGGAAGUCAGAGCGCUCUGCUCGCCGUGGAGGAAGACGCAGAGUCGGAUCAGAGCAGCUCCGGCUUUCAGACUCGUUGGUGAUCAUGGAUCUGCUUUGGAUGAUCCUCCCGGUGUUUCUGCUGUGCGCCGAGGCCGAGAACCUGACUGAGGUCAAAGGGCAGCUGGGGCACAGCGUCACCUUAAACUGCUCUUGGAACGCUUCAGACGUAUUUUGGUACAUGGAGAUGCACAGCCAGGUCAGAGUGCCCGUCGCCCGCUCUUUCGGUAAGGAUGCCGAAAUAGCCAUUACUGCUUUGAAAACACUUUGAAAACUAAAUAUCAAGCCUUGGAAAACAGACUUGUGAUAACAAACAUCACAUCAGAGGACCGCAGACUUUACAUCUGUGCGUGAAGAUACAAGGCAAUAUAUCUUUUAAAGACGCCUUCCGCCUGGUCUCAGAUGUUCCUACUGUCACUCUGUCCACCAACGACUCUGAAGCAAACAACCACCAGCAGCUCGUCGUGUUCAGCUUGUUCGCCCUGAACGUCCUCUUCAUCGUGGUAAUAAUAGGUUUGGUUUUUGCGUCUCCGUGUUUGAAGAGGAAGAACUGCAACUGCCAGGUGAACGAGGCUUCACCCUUCACCUGUGAGAACCCAGAGACCCUGAAGACACCACAGUACUCCUGCUGUGUGUACAAGGAGAUCCAGCUCCCCACCUUCAUAGCCCCCCCGUCUGCUGCCUCUUCUCCAGAGCUUCCUCGAUCCACGCUGCCUCGACAUCGACUGGGACACCUGGGCGGUUUCUGAGAACCUAGAUGGAUCUAUGGGCGACCGGCCUCUCCUGAACCUGGAUGAACCUGAACCUGAACCUGAACCUGAACCCAGCUGUGUGUCCUUCAAGAAAGACAAGUCAAAGCAUCGCAUCAAUGAUUUUAAAAGACGACAACCCUCUACUCAAAGAGUUUAGAUGUUCAUCACAUUAAAAUCUGACUGAUUCAUGUUGAACUGUUAUUUAUCCAGAGAAGUUUUAUUAAACCUGUGUGUUUA